ACAAGUAAUACAAAAUUUAAAAAAUAAACAGUAAGAAAUCACUAGUUAAUAGAUUACAUAUUCUCAUCUUAGAAAUAGUUGUUCAAGUUACAUUACUGAAGCAUAUAAAGUGGACUUUCAAACAGUGAGAGUGCAAAGGUUUCUUCUUAGGGAAGAUAAGAAUUCUGUGUUAGUUUUCACAAAGCCAAGCCAAGCCGAGCCAAGGUUGCUACCGGGAAGACAGCAGGGCCUGAGGUGCCAUGUUCCCCGUGAGCACCCCCGACCCCCCGCCCGAGCAAGCAAGGACCCGGCUUGGGAGCGGCCUGCGUCCAGCUGCAUCACGGGGACACAUCCACUUGCCCGUUCACAGCCAGCCUGCAGCUGCUUCUUUGUGACAGAGUCAAGGGUUCUUGUCAGAAACCAUGUGGCCUGCAAGACUUACGCAGGAUGUCCCAGGCUCCGCACCAGCCCCAUCAACCAGCCCCAGCAUCCUGAGAUCCCACUCCUGAGCCUCACCCACCAAACACCCUGUGAGAGGACUACGCCCCAGGAGGGACCCCCAGGAGGACUCCAGUUCUCCUCACGGAGCCCAGCUUCCCCCCACGUUUUUCAAGGCCCCAAAGCCCUCUGUGUUCCUCCUCUCCUUCCUUCCUAUUCUCCUCUACCCUCAGCCUCCCCGGGAGCGCUGUGCUUAGUAAUUGAUCCCAACUGCUGCAGGAAAUAUAUGCACAGGACCCUCAAGACCUCCUAUGAUCUCCAGGCCUGUGCCUCUAGGGACAAGGCAGACUUCAGUGGGGCCUCCUUCAAGCCAGUGGGGUCUUUAAGACCUGGCUGUCCCCUUAGGCAAGGUGGUGACCCAAGACUAAAGAGAGUUCCUGACCACCACCUCCCAGGCCUGCCUGUACAGCACAUCUGCUUCCCCUCGGGGUCCAGGGGACCCUCCUGUGAGAUGAGAACCAUGCAGCCCAGUCAAAUCUAAAAUUUUAAUUUAAAUUUACAUAGCCACACAUAGCUAGCGGCUGCUGUAUUAGAUAGUACAGAAUCUACCUGAGGCACGAAUCAGAGUCCUAAGUGUCCACUCUUGGUGAGCCCUUUCAACUCUUUCGGCCUGAUUGAAAGUUUUGCUGUAGAGAAGUCACCUUUGGGGCUAUUCUGAGUCACUGAUUCCGUAUGGCUCACUGAAAGGAGCAGUUAAUUUACAAGCCCCAGAGAAAGGGGCGCUGCAGGUCCCUGAGAUCCUAGAAGGAAAACAAAGAGCAAGUUGCAGCCAAUUGGAGACCAAAGAACUGCUCUGCCAACCUGGGGCCCCGCUGGCCUCCGGGAGGUGAUGGGUGCCAUCAGCUUGCACCGGUACAUCUGGGGCUUGAUAAGCCAAGGAAGCACCUUGCCAGCAGGCUGGGGAGGAUUACUUGAGCUUUGGGGAGCCCCGGUAAGAGACACAGAGCCGUGGACCAAGUGGUUUCACUUGGUCUUUUUUUCAGCUGCUUCGCUGUAGUCCUUCUGUUUAGCUGCUCCUCUGACCCCAGCCCCUGUAUACCUUCGAGCCCUCAGCCACUAUUCCCACACACGCCCCAGCCCUCGUGGACGUCUACAUUUAUACCAAAAUUACAGUAGCGGCCUUGCACCAGCGACAGCCUUGGUUAUAUCUGUUACUCACCCUGGCCAGCACUGACCCUGGCUACAGAAUUUAUUUACACUGGGGCACUAGGAGACACAGCUAAUGCUGGAGGUCUGCUGACACAGAACCCACUGCCUCCCAGACCUGCUUCCUUCAGAGCCCAGGCCGAAGUACCGCCAUCGCAGGCUUUUAUGUUUCCCUACACAGGGCCUGGGGCUUCAGCAGCUUCCUAGCUUUCUGGGAAGAAAGAGAGGUUGCCCAGGAUUCCUCGAGAGGCUCCCGUAAAGUCCAUGAUUGAUGUCACCGGAAGACCAGGGCUGAGCAGGCAGGGUCCCAGCUCCAUCCACACGGGCUCCUCUAAGUAGGAGAGAGCUCCAUGCAUGUCUCCUAGAACUGCCCGACGGCGGCCCUGUGAAAGAGGCCAGCUCCCACUGCUAGUCCUUGCCCUGUCACUCUCGCCAGUGUCACCUCCAUGAAAUCUCUGCCACAUCUCAUUCUACCCUGUGGCCUGCUCUUUGCAGGCCUUGAAGUGACAUAGAAAGGGACAGAGAACUCUCUUCGCCCCUAAGAUUAGACACUAUGCAUCACUGCCUGACAAUGGCCAUCCCUGUCUGUUUGAACCUGAGAAGCAGUCAGGGCAAGGAGAAAAAGGGGCAGGUGCCCGGGAGCAGGGCCUCGGAAAGAUGCAUCUUCUCAGUACAAUAGCCUCCACACUCUGUUCUGAGGGAGACCCCCAAAGUCACAGCAGUGUAAAUGCUGGAACCUCAGCAUCUCUAAGAGAAAGCUCAGGCCUUCCUGGCACAGUCUGUGUCAAGCCUGUGACCCUGAAGCGAUAAUAGAAGUGACAGGCAUGGAGAGCAGGACCCAGGGGAGAUCACAGAGCAGGCGGUCGCUAGGGAAAGGGGAGCUGUGAAUCCACCAAUGCCUCCCGGAAUCCAGAGACAUCAACAUUGGAUGGUUCUUUGUGCAAUGCCUUGUAGGAGUUACCAGCAUCUUAGCACCCCAAACCCUAGUUAUGAACACCAAAACUACCUCCAGACACCACCAGAUAGGCCCCGAGGGGUAAAACCAUCCCAGCUGAGAACUGCUGCUUGAACUCAAUCCCACUUCAAUGGAAUAAAAUGAAUUUGUGAUGUGGACUCUCUCU